ACAAGCGGAGGAGCAUGUGGUUUAAUUCGAUGAUACGCGAGGAACCGUUACCUGGGCUCGAACGUAAGAUGACUGUAGGUGAAAGCUUACAUCUCUUCGGAGCAUUUUACGAGGUGCUGCAUGGUUGUCGUCAGCUCGUGCCGUGAGGUGUCGGGUUAAGUCCCAUAACGAGCGCAACCCUACCUUUAGUUGCCAUCAGGUAAUGCUGGGGACUCUAAAGGAACUGCUACGCAAGUAGUGAGGAAGCGGGGAUGACGUCAAAUCAGCACGGCCCUUACGUCCAGGGCUACACACGUGCUACAAUGGCCGAUACAGAGGGCAGCUACCUGGUGACAGGAUGCAAAUCUCCAAAGUCGGUCUCAGUUCGGAUCGGAGUCUGCAACCCGACUCCGUGAAGUUGGAUUCGCUAGUAAUCGCGCAUCAGCCAUGGCGCGGUGAAUACGUUCCCGGGCCUU
rnacentral:rRNA from 1 species